rnacentral:rRNA from 1 species
AGAACGAACGCUGGCGGCAGGCCUAACACAUGCAAGUCGAACGCCCGUAGCAAUACGGGAGUGGCAGACGGGUGAGUAACGCGUGGGAACGUGCCCUUCGGUUCGGAAUAACUCAGGGAAACUUGAGCUAAUACCGGAUACGUCCGUAAGGAGAAAGAUUUAUCGCCGAAGGAUCGGCCCGCGUCGGAUUAGCUAGUUGGUGAGGUAACGGCCCACCAAGGCGACGAUCCGUAGCUGGUCUGAGAGGAUGAUCAGCCACACUGGGACUGAGACACGGCCCAGACUCCUACGGGAGGCAGCAGUGGGGAAUAUUGGACAAUGGGCGCAAGCCUGAUCCAGCCAUGCCGCGUGAGUGAAGAAGGCCUUAGGGUUGUAAAGCUCCUUCAGCGGGGAAGAUAAUGACGGUACCCGCAGAAGAAGCCCCGGCUAACUUCGUGCCAGCAGCCGC